rnacentral:rRNA from 1 species
UUUGCGGGUCGAAGCGGAGAAUUUAAGCCCCAGUAAACGGCGGUGGUAACUAUAACCAUCCUAAGGUAGCGAAAUUCCUUGUCGGGUAAGUUCCGACCUGCACGAAUGGCGUAACGACUUCCCUGCUGUCUCAACCACAGACCCGGCGAAAUUGCAGUACGAGUAAAGAUGCUCGUUACGCGCGGCAGGACGAAAAGACCCCGGGACCUUCACUAUAGCUUGGUAUUGGUGUUCGGUUCGGUUUGUGUAGGAUAGGUGGGAGACUGUGAUGCCUCAACGCCAGUUGGGGUGGAGUCGUUGUUGAAAUACCACUCUGAUCGUAUUGGACAUCUCAACCUCGGCCCGUGAUCCGGGUUAGGGACAGUGCCUGGUGGGUAGUUUAACUGGGGCGGUUGCCUCCCAAAGAGUAACGGAGGCGCCCAAAGGUUCCCUCAGCCUGGUUGGCAAUCAGGUGUUGAGUGUAAGUGCACAAGGGAGCUUGACUGUGAGACUGACAGGUCGAGCAGGUAGGAAACUAGGGACUAGUGAUCCGGCACCGGCUUGUGGAAGCGGUGUCGCUCAACGGAUAAAAGGUACCCCGGGGAUAACAGGCUGAUCUUCCCCAAGAGUCCAUAUCGACGGGAUGGUUUGGCACCUCGAUGUCGGCUCGUCGCAUCCUGGGGCUGGAGUAGGUCCCAAGGGUUGGGCUGUUCGCCCAUUAAAGCGGCACGCGAGCUGGGUUUAGAACGUCGUGAGACAGUUCGGUCUCUAUCCGCCGCGCGCGUAGAAACUUGAGGAAGGCUGUCCCUAGUACGAGAGGACCGGGAUGGACGUACCUCUGGUGUGCCAGUUGUCCCGCCUGGGGCAUGGCUGGUUGGCUACGUACGGAAGGGAUAACCGCUGAAAGCAUCUAAGCGGGAAGCCUGUUCCAAGAUUAGGUUUCUUUUGAGGUCCCCUAUAGAUGAUGGGGUUGAUAGGCCGGAUCUGGAAGCAUCGUAAGGUGUGGAGGUGACCGGUACUAAUAGACCAAACACUCAACACACAAUGU